GUCCAUCAGUCCCUCUGGUGAAAUAGUGGAGGGCAGUUCAGUGACUCUGACCUGCAGCAGUGAUGCAAACCCACCUGUGCAGAACUACACCUGGUUUAAAGAAGGUGGAAGCUCACCUGUAGGAUCUGGACACAGUUACAGGGCUCUACAGAGUGGAUCCUACUACUGUGUGGCUCAGAAUGAAUAUGGAUCUCAGAAAUCAGCUGCAGUGACUGUCACUGAAAAAGGAGUUGGGAAUUCAGCUCUAUAUGCAGUUAUUGGAGUCACAGCUGGAUGUGGAUGUUUAUCUGUUAUCAUUGCUGUAUUUUGUGUAAGGAGAAAGAGAAGAGGCAAUUCAGCUGAUGAUGCAAACCAAGAACAGG